GUCGAACUGCAAGAACUGAGCUUGUCCAACAUCCUCCGGGAUUUUAUUUUAUUUUUCUAUCUUCCUUCCCUUCUAUAAAUGAUCCUGGAAUUUUACCUGCCCUCAUGAAAUGAGCCGCCCUCAGCAGCUUCUUCCAUCCUGCCGUCCUACGCCAGAGAAGAAAAGACCCAGCACCAGGAAAUAAAGAGUGCCCAAAUCUUCACCCCUGGUGAAAAUAAUGGCUCAACAGGCAUGGCGGUUUGAAUGAGAAAUGCCUUACAUAGCCUCACAUAUGUGACUGCUUGGUCCCAGGCUGGUGACACUGUUUGGGGAAGCUAUGUAAUCUUUAGGAAGUGAUGCCUUAAUGGAGGAAGUACACCAGUGAGGGCAGGCUUUGAGAGUUCAUUGCCUGACCCCACUUCCAGUUUGCUGUCUCUGCUUUGUGUUUGUGUCUGAAGACGCAAUUUCUCAGCAGCCUGCUCCGGUGGCCUGCUGCCAUGACACCCCACCACUU
rnacentral:lncRNA from 1 species